rnacentral:rRNA from 1 species
ACCUACGGGGGGCAGCAGGCGCGAAAACUUUACAAUGCGGGAAACCGUGAUAAGGGGACACCGAGUGCCAGCAUCAUAUGCUGGCUGUCCAGGUGUGUAAAAUACACCUGUUAGCAAGGGCCGGGCAAGACCGGUGCCAGCCGCCGCGGUAACACCGGCGGCCCGAGUGGUGAUCGUGAUUAUUGGGUCUAAAGGGUCCGUAGCCGGUUUGGUCAGUCCUCCGGGAAAUCUGACGGCUCAACCGUUAGGCUUUCGGGGGAUACUGCCAGGCUUGGAACCGGGAGAGGUAAGAGGUACUACAGGGGUAGGAGUGAAAUCUUGUAAUCCCUGUGAGACCACCUGUGGCGAAGGCGUCUUACCAGAACGGGUUCGACGGUGAGGGACGAAAGCUGGGGGCACGAACCGGAUUAGAUACCCGGGUAGUCCU